AUGGGAGAAGACCCUGUUGUGGGCCCCCUGUUUCUGAAAGGGAAACUCAGGCCUGUGGUGUCUGAACAUCUUGCAGCUACAGAAGAGCAACAAUCUGGUUCCUCUGUUCUGGUGCUUGGUUCAGUGUUUGGUGUACUAGCUCUUGCUGCUUCUACUUUCCUUGGUUUCUUUUUGUACCACAAACAAAUUUCCAAUUAAAUGGGCUGAAAUA